GAAUGAUUCUCAAAAGUAAGCAAUUUUUACCAUAAAUUAAGUUGGUGAGACAUUACUUCAAAUUGUGUACUUUUUAACCAAAAUUAUAGUGGGGGAGUCAUUCUUAUAAUUAGGGAAUCAAGAGUUUUACUACAAAAAGAGAAAUAAGAGCAAUGGUCUAUCGACCGUAAAUGCAAAGGAACAGGCACUUUUGAUACGGGGUAGUAAAAUUGGAAGCCCAGCAUGAUGUUAACCGUUCAUCUCAGCUGCAUCUGUGUUAUCAAGUGCUGUUACCAGAUCGUUUACCGACCUGCGCGAGCUACAUAAUAGAACUUUCUGUACUUUCAUGCGAAACAAAUCAGAUAUUGGUCCUAAUAGCGGUGGGAUGCGUAAGUUGAACACUACGAAACAUUUAAACAGGACAUCAAGAGCCUGGAGCGCACUCGAGCCGAUUGAGAUUUGAGCAUCUCCACCUAACACGACAAAAUAAUUGCCAUUUUGUGCAGGUGUUCCGAUGCACACUAGAUGAAUGUUGUGGUCAGAGCUAAAAUGGUCUAUGGCAUCUGCAGGCUGCAAUAUAUAAAUACCGGCGCAGCAAACAACUCAUCUGGUGUUAAGUUUCCUGGUGUGUGUGGUCUUUUUACUCCUCGUACGGCCAUUUCUUUCAUCAAGAUUAGAGUUCCUCGAAUGUACACU